rnacentral:pre_miRNA from 1 species
GAGGUUGAUGAGGUAGUUUAUAAAGCUGCGAGAGUAGAUUAAGCUCGCAGAUUUUAAGCUAUCUCGACUACCUU